GCUGCAUCUUCUCUACAUCAUCCAGUAGUUGCUCUUUCACACCUGUUGCCUUCUGUAUUUGUGAUGCUGCAGGAAAGAGACAGAGGAAACCAACUUCCCUUGUAGCUGUAGGGAUGGCCAGUUCCAGAUGGCCGAUUCUCAAGUGGACUUGAGAGACCGUCCGGAGCGUGUAAGCAGGGUUGUUUUCUGUUGUGUUGAGGCAGGGGUCUGUAUCUGCACUCUCCAGCUCAACAAGAGAUUUGGACUGAAGGUUACAUCGGAUUUAAGGCAGCGUUCCUUCAUCCUAAGGGUUCAAAUGCUUCCUGUCCUACUAAUUCAUCCUCCAGAGAGGUCUGUGGUAAAGGUCAGAAGGUCUGGCAUGAGUCCCACUGGGCUGAAAUCAAGGUACCAGCAGACUUUGUUUCCCUUUCUGGAGGCUCCAAGGAAGAAGGCAAUUUCAGCUUCUGGAUACGGCCCUCAUUCCUCGGCCCAUGGCCAACUUCGGUUUUCAAAGCCACAAUGGUAGAUAGAGUCCUCAGGUCAUAGAUUACUCCUGCCUCUGCUUCCUUUAUUCCAUCACUCUCUGGCCACAGCUAAGAACAGAUCUUUACUUAAAAGGACUCAUGUGAUUACUUUAAGCCUACCUGGAUAAACUGGACCACCUCCCCAUCUCAAGACCCCAGACCCGCGAUCCCCACCCUCCUGGCUCUUGCCAUCACCAUCCACACUGAGACGCCGCUCAGCUUCCUUGGUUCUCACGGAUAUGACAGCCUAAGGGACGCUUCUGCAGUAACUAAAGAUGAGAAAUCACUGGGGAAAGUAAAAAAGAAGACAGUGUCAAUAUGAGCACAAAGAAGUGAGAG